CCUACGGGUGGCAGCAGUAGGGAAUAUUGCUCAAUGGGGGAAACCCUGAAGCAGCAAAGCCGCGUGGAGGAUGAAGGUUUUCGGAUUGUAAACUCCUUUUGUUAGAGAAGAUAAUGACGGUAUCUAACGAAUAAGCACCGGCUAACUCCGUUCCAGCAGCCGCGGUAAUACGGAGGGUGCAAGCGUUACUCGGAAUCACUGGGCGUAAAGAGGGCGUAGGGGGGUUAGCAAGUCAGAUGUGAAAUCCUAUGGCUUAACCAUAGAACUGCAGUUGAAACUGUUAUUCUAGAGUAUGGGAGAGGUAGGUGGAAUUCGUGGUGUAGGGGUAAAAUCCGUAGAGAUCAAGAGGAAUACUCAUUGCGAAGGCGAUCUGCUAGAACAUAACUGACGCUGAUGCGCGAAAGCGUGGGGAGCAAACAGGAUUAGAUACCCGAGUAGUC
rnacentral:rRNA from 1 species